AUCCGUAUUGAAAUGAGCUUUGGAAACCAACUAUUUAGUCAGUUAAGAAAUAUACGAGAUAUUUUAAUAGAAAAUCGAUAAAGAAAAUGAUUUUUUUUGCGUAGAUUACUAGUA